ensembl:rRNA 5S_rRNA 5S ribosomal RNA
GUCUACGGCCAUGCCACCCUGAACAAGCUGGAUCCUAUCUGAUCUUGAAAGCUAAGCAGGGUCAGGCCUGGUUAGUACUUGGAUGAGAGACCACCUAGGAAGACCAAGUGCUGUCGGCU